rnacentral:rRNA from 1 species
AGCGAACGCUGGCGGCAGGCUUAACACAUGCAAGUCGAACGCCAUCUUCGGAUGGAGUGGCAGACGGGUGAGUAACGCGUGGGAACGUGCCCUUUGGUACGGAAUAGCCCCGGGAAACUGGGAGUAAUACCGUAUAAGCUCUUCGGAGGAAAGAUUUAUCGCCAAAGGAUCGGCCCGCGUUGGAUUAGGUAGUUGGUGGGGUAAUGGCCUACCAAGCCGACGAUCCAUAGCUGGUUUGAGAGGAUGAUCAGCCACACUGGGACUGAGACACGGCCCAGACUCCUACGGGAGGCAGCAGUGGGGAAUAUUGCACAAUGGGCGCAAGCCUGAUGCAGCAACGCCGCGUGAGGGACGACGGCCUUC